GCAAAGUCGGGGGAUUCGGUCUGUGCCUGCUUCUGUCAAAACAGAAAACGCCCAUGGCAACCGGCAAGUGUUACCUGAAACCGCAGAGUGUGUUUCACAAAACAAGGGUGGCUCAUCGAUAGUCACCCGGGGAGAUUCUGGCCCCGGGCCCACGAGGUGGCAGUUGGUGGGUGGGAUCUCUGCAGAGCUGGGGGGUUUCCGGGCCUCCACCCUUGCAGGGAGGAGCCGUGGGGGAGCGGGCGGCCCUGCCCGCCGAGGGACCGAAAGCCCCCUCCAUCUGCGCCUGGGGCGGGAGACCGGCGAGCAAUUGGACUUGAGACGGAGAACUGCGAUCACCAUCCGCCUCCUGUCCUACACACAACGGAGGAAGCAACGCCGGCACAUUUGCUCAUUGCAGGACAAGUCCCGUUUCUGCUCCCCUCAUUCGGCUGUAAAUAUGCGUCGUUGCGUGGUGGUUUCUGGAGCAGUCGAAAUGGUCUUCUCCCAGGAUAUUGCUUUGCGUCUGUUCUCCCCUUCCUCUUUCUCUCUCUGGAUUAAUUAGUACAGUUCAGUUCAGUUCAGUCGCUCAGUCGUGUCCGACUCUUUGCGACCCCUUGAAUCGCAGCACGCCAGGCCUCCC
ensembl:lncRNA